rnacentral:rRNA from 1 species
CGCCUUACAGCUAGCCCACCUAACAAAAGCAACAUUCCCUUAUUAAUAACCCCAAACGUUUUUAAAUUAAACAAACAAACCAUUUUAUAACUUUAGUAUAGGUGAUAAAAAAAGUCAUAGGAGCUAUACAGAGAAGUACCGAGAGGGAAAGCUGAAAAAGAAAUGAAAAAAAUCACUUAAGCCUAGAAUAGCAAAGAUUAAAUCUUGUACCUUUUGCAUCAUGAUUUAGCCAGUGUGCCUCAAGCAAAGAGCGCUUUAGUUUGUUUACCCGAAACUAUGUGAGCUACUCCAAGACAGCCUAUUAAUUAGGGCUAAUCCGUCUCUGUGGCAAAAGAGUGGAAUGAGCUUUGAGUAGAGGUGACAGACCUACCGAACUUAGUUAUAGCUGGUUGCCCAAGAAUUGAAUAGGAGUUCAGCCUCCCGGCUUCUUAACUCAAACUCUCGCUUUGCCUAAAAAGUAGACCCUAAGAAUACCGGGGGAGUUAGUCAAAGGAGGUACAGCUCCUUUGAAAAAAGACACAACUUUCCUAGAAGGAUAAAGAUCAAAUUAUUUUAAGGUAAUAUAUUUUAGUGGGCUUAAAAGCAGCCAUCCAACAGAAAGCGUUAAAGCUCUAAUACCUCUCUUUUCCUAUUAUACCGAUCCUAAAAUCCCAAUCCCCUUAUCUUAUUGGGCCGUCCCAUGCUAGCAUGGGAGCGAUUAUGCUAAAAUGAGUAAUAAGAGGGCAUGCGCCCCUCUCCUAACACUUGUGUAAAUCGGAACGAACCCACACCGAAAAUUAACGCAUCCUACACCAGAGGAACCUAGGAAAUUAAAAAUAAAACUAGAAAUACGCCUAAAAACUUUACCGUUAACCCCACACAGGAGUGUUCUCAAGGAAAGACUGAAAGAAAGAGAAGGAACUCGGCAAAUUUAGCAAGCCUCGCCUGUUUACCAAAAACAUCGCCUCUUGAAUUAUUGAUAUAAGAGGUCCUGCCUGCCCGGUGACCAAGUGUUCAACGGCCGCGGUAUCUUAACCGUGCGAAGGUAGCGCAAUCACUUGUCUCUUAAAUGGGGACCUGUAUGAAUGGCCUGACGAGGGCUUAACUGUCUCCUCUUUCCAGUCAAUGAAAUUGAUCUCCCCGUGCAGAAGCGGGGAUACCUUCAUAAGACGAGAAGACCCUAUGAAGCUUUAGACGCAAGGCAGCUUAUGUCCAUCCAUCCUUUUAAAGAACUAAACUUAGUAAUUCCUGUCCUUAAUGUCUUUGGUUGGGGCGACCAUGGGGAAGUACUUAACCCCCACGAGGAAAGGGGAGAUUUUAAACCUACAACCGAGAGCUGCAGCUCCAAGUAACAAUAAAUUUGACCAUUAAGAUCCGGACUAACCGAUCAACGAACCGAGUUACUCUAGGGAUAACAGCGCAAUCCCCUUAUAGAGUUCCUAUCGACAAGGGGGUUUACGACCUCGAUGUUGGAUCAGGACAUCCUAAUGGUGCAGCCGCUAUUAAGGGUUCGUUUGUUCAACGAUUAAAGUCCUACGUGAUCUGAGUUCAGACCGGAGUAAUCCAGGUCAGUUUCUACCUAUGCAGCACUUCUUUCUAGUACGAAAGGACCGAAAAAAGGAGGCCACUGCCUAAGGUAAGCCUUAUCCCCAUCUUAUGAAACCAUUAAAUAAGACAAAAGGAUGCACGCUUUUGCCAGAGAGAAUGGCAAAUU